AAAAAUUAUAAUUAUUAUUAUUUAUAAUUAAUUAUUUAUUUUAAUUAAUAAAAGAAUUUUUAAAAAUUAAAAGUUUUUGUAUAUUUAUAGAUAAAAUUUUAUUAAUAAAAUUUUAUUAGUAUUGAAAAAGAAUUUUGAAAGAAAAAUAAUUAUUUUUAAUAAAGUAAAUUUAAUUAAUUGUACCUUGUGCAUCAGGGUUUUUUUAAAAAAAAAUAUAAAAUUAUUUUUUCUCGAAUUUAAAAGAUCUAUUUUAUUAAAUUUUUUAUUGUAGUAAAAAUAUUAUUAAUAUUAAAAUAGAAAUGAAAUGUUAUUCGUUUUUAAAUAUAUCUAGUUUUUUAAUAAAUGAAUUUAAUUCAGAUAUUAUUUAAUAAAUAUAUUUAUUGAAAUAAUAUAUUUAAUAUAAAUAAUAUUAAUAUUUUAAGGGAUAAGCUUUAAAAUAGAAAAUUUAUAAUAUAUAAUUAAAUAAAAUAUGGAAUUAUAUAGGCUUAGAAAUAGUUUUUAUUUAAAAAAUGUUAUAAUUUAAUUUUUUCUUUAAAAGUGAAAUAAUAAUAAUAAUUAUUAUUUAUUAAUAUAAUAUUUAAAGUUUUAUUAAAAUAAAUUAUUUAAUAAAAUAAUAUUUGAAAUAAUGAUAAAAUUAGUAAAUUUUAAAAUAAUGUAAUUUUAUUAAUUAAAUUAAUGAAAGUUUAAUUAAAGGAAUUCGGCAAAUAAUAUUUAAAAAUACUCACCUGUUUAACAAAAACAUGUCUUUUUGAAUUUAAUUUAAAGUCUAGUCUGCUCAAUGAUAUUUAAUAAUUAAAUGGCCGCAGUAUUUUGACUGUGCAAAGGUAGCAUAAUAAUUAGUCUUUUAAUUAAAGGCUUGUAUGAAUGAUUGAAUGAAGUAUAAUCUGUCUCUAAUUAAAUUUUAAUUUAAUUUAAUUUUUAAGUUAAAAAGCUUAAAUAUAAUUAUAGGACGAGAAGACCCUAUAGAGUUUUAUAAUUUUAUUUUGUUUAAGAAAUAAUUUUUUUUUAAAUAUAAUAGAUUAUUUUAUUGGGGUGAUAGGAAAAUUUAAUAAACUUUUUUAUUUUUUAAAACAUUAAUGAAUGAAAUUUUGAUCCUAAUUAUUUUAGAUUAAUAGAUUUAAUUACCUUAGGGAUAACAGCGUUAUUUUUUUUAAAGUUCUUAUUUAUGAAAAAGAUUGCGACCUCGAUGUUGGAUUAAAAUUAAUUUUAGGUGAAGAAGCUUAAAAUUUUAGGUCUGUUCGACCUUUGAAAUUUUACAUGAUCUGAGUUCAAACCGGUGUAAGCCAGGUUGGUUUCUAUCCUUAAUUUUUUAGAAAUUUUUAGUACGAAAGGACCAGAAUUUUAAAAUAAUUUUUAUAAUAAUUGAUUUUUAUUAAAUAUUUAUUUA
rnacentral:rRNA from 1 species